AUGGGGGUUGAGGAAAGCGUGGAUGUAGACAGAGUUGUCAGCGUCCCUCUGUUGACCAGGCAGGAGAUGCUGCUGCUGGUGGAGAUGCAGAAGUUGCAUUUGGAGAGAAUCUGGACUGCACUGAAACCCAGAAAAAAACAGACCCUGUUGGCUCGGAAAACGUCUGACAGCAAACAGCACCAGGCGACACAAACUGUCCGAUUUCCAACUGCUCUCGGACACACUCACCCGCACUCGGUCGCCAAGCUUGCUGUGUCAAUGUCUAAAGCCAUUUCUUCCUUGGGAACUGCAGACGCUGCAAUGCCGUCAGGAAGUUUUUGGCAGGCCACAGUUCCGAGGGACGUGGACUUUGCUACAGUAUGGGCUCCUUUAGGAGGCUCAGAACAGGCUGGCCUCAGGCGGGCAGCCAGGGCUCACAGGGCCAAAAUCCUCGGCUUUGUACUUCGUGGGAAUUCUUGCGAUUACGCACCAUGGCAGUUGGCAAGAAUAAGCGCCUUACGAAAGGCGGCAAAAAGGGGAGCCAAGAAGAAAGUGGUUGAUCCAUUUUUGUUUGAAGUUAGUCUUGCUGAUUUGCAGAAUGAUGAAGUUGCAUUUAGGAAAUUCAAGCUAAUUACUGAAGAUGUUCAGGGCAAAAACUGCCUGACUAACUUCCAUGGCAUGGAUCGUAAGAUGAUGCCACAUUUUGACCAUGACAAAAUGUGCUCCAUGGUCAAAAAAUGACAGACAAUGACUGAAGCUCAUGUUGAUGUCAAGACUACCGAUGGUUACUUGCUUCGUCUGUUCUGUGUUGGUUUUACUAAAAAAAGCAACAAUCAGAUACGGAAGACCUCUUAUGCUCAGCACCAACAGGUCCGCCAAAUCCGGAAGAAGAUGAUGGAAAUCAUGACCUGAGAGGUGCAGACAAAUGACUUGAAAGAAGUGGUCAAUAAGUUGAUUCCAGACAGCAUUGGAAAAGACAUAGAAAAGGCUUGCCAAUCUAUUUAUCCUCUCCAUGAUGUCUUCGUCAGAAAAGUAAAAAUGCUGAAGAAGCCCAAGUUUGAAUUUGAAUUGGGAAAACUCGUGGAGCUUCAUGGUGAAGGCAGUAGUUCUGGAAAAGCCACUGGGGAUGAGACAGGUGCUAAAGUUGAACGAGCUGAUGGAUAUGAACCACCAGUCCAAGAAUCUGUUUAAAGUUCAGACUUAUAAUAUUGGCAAAUAAAAAGUCUUAUUUGUG